AUGCACGCUGGCGGCGUGCCUAAUCCAUGCAAGUCGAGCGAACAGAUGAGGAGCUUGCUCCUCUGACGUUAGCGGCGGACGGGUGAGUAACACGUGGAUAACCUACCUAUAAGACUGGGAUAACUUCGGGAAACCGGAACUAAUACCGGAUAAUAUAUUGAACCGCAUGGUUCAAUAGUGAAAGACGGUUUUGCUGUCACUUAUAGAUGGAUCCGCGCCGCAUUAGCUAGUUGGUAAGGUAACGGCUUACCAAGGCAACGAUGCGUAGCCGACCUGAGAGGGUGAUCGGCCACACUGGAACUGAGACACGGUCCAGACUCCUACGGGAGGCAGCAGUAGGGAAUCUUCCGCAAUGGGCGAAAGCCUGACGGAGCAACGCCGCGUGAGUGAUGAAGGUCUUCGGAUCGUAAAACUCUGUUAUUAGGGAAGAACAAAUGUGUAAGUAACUAUGCACGUCUUGACGGUACCUAAUCAGAAAGCCACGGCUAACUACGUG
rnacentral:rRNA from 1 species